GAUCACUUUAAAGAUUACUUUGAAAGAAGAAAUGGGGUUCAGAGAGAGGAAGAAGAGGAAGUGGAGAGGCUGAGCGCGCUCCGUCUGACCGCCGGGACUCUGUGGGAACUCUAAUUAUUAUCAGCAGAGGGACAAAGUUUGCUCACGGCUUUGUUCAAAUAUUGAAAACGACCAUGUCACCGCACAUGCCAGCUCCACAUGAAGAACUGUCCUACAUUGGUAUUCUCCUAUGAACAAUUAAUGUUAGAUUUCUUCAUCAUGGCAGGCCACCAAGUUCUCCAUUAAAGAGAAGAACUGUCACUGGAUCUCUGGCUCUAUUUACAUUUCAAAAGUGGGCCGUCACUCCACAUCCAUGUCAGCCCGCGAGCCACGCCGCCGUCCUCUGAGCCGCCCUUUUUUUUCCCCCUUUCGCGGCUUCUAUACUCUGGAGGUGGAGCAAUGAGACCCCAAAUCCUUCAUCUGGGAGCUAAAAACAGGAAUCCUCGUGAGAGAGCUGAUGAAAACUCCGGAGGACUGAUGGAGCGGAGGGCAAAUUUCACACCCUCCAGCCUGGAUGUCCAAUAUCCUGUGGCUGAUCUCCCUUUUGGCCCCGGCAACAGCAAACAGAUGUGCCAGUCGGGUUCAGAGGAGGAUCCGGCUUGGCUGCUUGACCCGAGAAAACGAGCCGCCUCCCACCUGAGAGGCUCCACAGACCCUGACCCCGCUUUUGAGGUAAAGCUUCCUGCCAAGCUCGUGUGGCCGUGGGGAGGAAUUCCUAGCAUGCCUCACGUGAGAAGAAAAACCACGUUUCGCAGGCUGAAAGUCUGACUCACCUUCAAACAGAAACUACUCUUUUUUUGCUCCUUCAGAACACACUGAAAACGUAAAAAUGUCUGGUAAUUAGAUUUGUUUCUGAGCCACAGUUGUGCCAACACAUCACAAAAUACAAGUUUGUUAUGGGUUAACUUAGGAGUCAUCCUGCUUUAAUCUAAUCCUCCAGUGUUUCUGCAGCUAAAUGAUACAAAAACUGAUGAAGUUGGAACAUGCUUUCAGACAUGAAUACUGACUUUCCCAAUUAAAAUCUAUCUUGUUUCAA